rnacentral:rRNA from 1 species
GUACUGAGACACGGACCAGACUCCUACGGGAGGCAGCAGUGAGGAAUAUUGGACAAUGGGCGCAAGCCUGAUCCAGCCAUGCCGCGUGCAGGAUGACGGUCCUAUGGAUUGUAAACUGCUUUUGCACAGGAAGAAACAACUCUACGUGUAGAGUCUUGACGGUACUGUGAGAAUAAGGAUCGGCUAACUCCGUGCCAGCAGCCGCGGUAAU